rnacentral:rRNA from 1 species
ACGUAGGGUGCAAGCGUUGUCCGGAAUUAUUGGGCGUAAAGAGCGUGUAGGCGGCCCGACCAGUCCGCUGUGAAAGUCCAGGGCUCAACCCUGGAAUGCCGGUGGAUACUGUCGGGCUAGAGUCCGGAAUGGGCGAGUGGAAUUCCUGGUGUAGCGGUGAAAUGCGCAGAUAUCAGGAGGAACACCAAUGGCGAAGGCAGCUCGCUGGGACGUGACUGACGCUGAGACGCGAAAGCGUGGGGAGCAAACAGG